CUAAGUGGCGGACGGGUGAGUAAUGUAUAGUUAAUCUGCCCUUUAGAGGGGGAUAACAGUUGGAAACGACUGCUAAUACCCCAUACUCCUUUUAUCUUAAUGGUAAUUGGGAAACGUUUUUUCGCUAAAGGAUGAGACUAUAUGGUAUCAGGUAGUUGGUGGGGUAAGAGCCUACCAAGCCAAUGACGCCUAGCUGGUCUGAGAGGAUGAUCAGCCACACUGGAACUGAGACACGGUCCAG
rnacentral:rRNA from 1 species